rnacentral:rRNA from 1 species
GACGAACGCUGGCGGCGUGCUUAACACAUGCAAGUCGAACGGAAAGGCCCUGCUUGCAGGGUACUCGAGUGGCCAACGGGUGAGUAACACGUGGGUGAUCUGCCCUGCACUUCGGGAUAAGCAUGGGAAACUGGGUCUAAUACCUGACAGGAGCCAUCUUUAGCGUGGUGGUUGGAAAGUUUUUUCGGUGUAGGAUGAGCCCGGGGCCUAUCAGCUUGUUGGUGGGGUAAUGGCCUACCAAGGCGGCGACGGGUAGCCGGCCUGAGAGGGUGUACGGCCAGAUUAGGACUGAGAUGCGGGCCAGAGUCCGACGGGAGGCAGGAGGGGGGAAUAUUGGACAAUGGGCGCCAGCCUGAUGCAGGGAGGCCGCGUGGGGGAUGAAGGCUUUCAGGUGGUAAACUCCUGUCGGUAGGGAAGAAGCCAUUUUGUGACGGUACCUAAAUAGGAAGCACCGGCUAACUACGUG